rnacentral:rRNA from 1 species
GGUUACUGCUAUCGAGGUUCGACUAAGCCAUGCGAGUCGAAUGUAGCAAUACAUGGCGAACUGCUCAGUAACACGUGGACAACCUGCCCUUAGGACGGGGAUAAACCCGGGAAACUGGGUAUAAUACCCGAUAGGUCUCGAUUGCUGGAAUGCAUCGAGAUUUAAAGCUCCGGCGCCUAAGGAUGGGUCUGCGGCCUAUCAGGUAGUAGUGGGUGUAGCGUACCUACUAGCCUACGACGGGUACGGGUUGUGAGAGCAAGAGCCCGGAGAUGGAUUCUGAGACACGAAUCCAGGCCCUACGGGGUGCAGCAGGCGCGAAAACUUUACAAUGCUGGCAACAGCGAUAAGGGAACCUCGAGUGCCAGGUUACAAAUCUGGCUGUCGAGAUGCCUAAAAAGCAUUUCAUAGCAAGGGCCGGGCAAGACCGGUGCCAGCCGCCGCGGUAACACCGGCGGCUCGAGUGGUAACCGUUAUUAUUGGGUCUAAAGGGUCUGUAGCCGGCCGGAUAAGUCUCUUGAGAAAUCUGGCAGCUUAACUGUCAGGCUUUCAGGAGAUACUGUCUGGCUCGAGGCCGGGAGAGGUGAGAGGUACUUCAGGGGUAGGGGUGAAAUCUUGUAAUCCUUGAAGGACCACCAGUGGCGAAGGCGUCUCACCAGAACGGACCUGACGGCAAGGGACGAAAGCUAGGGGCACGAACCGGAU